rnacentral:rRNA from 1 species
GAUGAACGCUGGCGGCGUGCCUAAUACAUGCAAGUCGAGCGGUAAGGCCCCUUCGGGGGUACACGAGCGGCGGACGGCUGAGUAACACGUAGGAACGUACCCCAAAGUGAGGGAUAAGCACCAGAAAUGGUGUCUAAUACCGCAUGUGCUCUACGGAGUAAAGCUUCGGCGCUUUGGGAACGGCCUGCGCAUGAUUAGCUUGUUGGUGAGGUAAUGGCCCACCAAGGCGACGAUCAUUAGCUGGUCUGAGAGGAUUACCAGCCAGACUGGGACUGAGAACGGCCCAGACUCCUACGGGAGGCAGCAGUGGGGAAUAUUGGACAAUGGGCGAAAGCCUGAUCCAGCCAUGCCGCGUGUGUGAAGAAGGUCUUCGGAUUGUAAAGCACUUUAAGUUGGGAGGAAGGGCAGUAAGUUAAUCCCUUGCUGUUUUGACGUUACCAACAGAAUAAGCAC